GUCAUGUAUUACUUCUGGGGGUAGAGCACUGUUAUGGCUAGCGGGUCGUCAAGACUUAGUAAACCAUUGCAAACUCCGAAUACCAGAAAGUAUGAGCAUGGCAGACACACUGCGGGUGCUAACGUCCGUAGUGGAAAGGGAAACAACCCAGACCGUCAGCUAAGGUCCCAAAAUUAUAGUUAAGUGGGAAACGAUGUGAAAAGGCCCAGACAGCCAGGAGGUUGGCUUAGAAGCAGCCAUUCCUUUAAAGAGUGCGUAAUAGCUCACUGGUCGAGUCGGUUUGCGCGGAAGAUUUAACGGGGCUAAACUAUAUACCGAAGCUGCGGAUCGCAAUUUAUUGCGAUGGUAGGAGAGCGUUCUGUAAGCCGUUGAAGGUGAACUGUGAGGUUUGCUGGAGGUAUCAGAAGUGCGAAUGCUGACAUGAGUAACGAUAAAGGGGGUGAAAAACCCCCUCGCCAGAAGUCCAAGGUUUCCUACGCAACGUUAAUCGGCGUAGGGUUAGUCGACCCCUAAGGCGAGGCAGAAAUGCGUAGUCGAUGGGAAACGGGUUAAUAUUCCCGUACUUCAUAUAACUGCGAUGGGAAGACGGAGUAGGUUAGCUCAGCAAGGCGAUGGUUGUCCUUGUUCAAGCGUGUAGAAAUGGUUCUUAGGAAAAUCCGGGAACCUCUAUUUCAAGGCGUGAUAACGAUCCCUCUUUUGGGAGAAGUGAGUAAUACCAUGCUUCCAGGAAAAUCCUCUAAGCUUCAGGUUAUAUGAAACCGUACCCCAAACCGACACAGGUGGACGAGAUGAGAAUUCUAAGGCGCUUGAGAGAACUCGGGUGAAGGAACUAGGCAAAAUGACACCGUAACUUCGGGAGAAGGUGUACUCUUGUUAUGUGAAAUCACUUGCUGAUAGAGCAGAAAAGAGUUGAAAAUACUAGGUGGCUGCGACUGUUUAUUAAAAACACAGCACUCUGCAAACACGUAAGUGGACGUAUAGGGUGUGACUCCUGCCCGGUGCUUGAAGGUUAAUUGAUGAGGUUAGCGCUUGCGCGAAGCUUUUGAUCGAAGCCCAAGUAAACGGCGGCCGUAACUAUAACGGUCCUAAGGUAGCGAAAUUCCUUGUCGGGUAAGUUCCGACCUGCACGAAUGGAGUAACGACGGCCACACUGUCUCCACCCGAGACUCAGUGAAAUUGAAAUUGCUGUUAAGAUGCAGUAUACCCGCGGCCAGACGGAAAGACCCCGUGCACCUUUACUACAGCUUUGCAUUGAACUCUGAUCCUACUUGUGUAGGAUAGGUGGGAGGCUUUGAAGCUUUAACGCUAGUUAGAGUGGAGCCACCCUUGAAAUACCACCCUGGUAUGGUUGGGGUUCUAACCUUGGUCCGUUAUCCGGAUCGGGAACAAUGCAUGGUGGGUAGUUUGACUGGGGCGGUCUCCUCCUAAAGAGUAACGGAGGAGCGCAAAGGUAUCCUCAGCACGGUCGGACAUCGUGCAAUGAGCGCAAAGGUAAAAGGAUGCUUGACUGCGAGACUGACACGUCGAGCAGGUAGGAAACUAGGUCUUAGUGAUCCGGUGGUUCUGAGUGGAAGGGCCAUCGCUCAACGGAUAAAAGGUACGCCGGGGAUAACAGGUUAAUAC
rnacentral:rRNA from 1 species